rnacentral:rRNA from 1 species
GACGAACGCUGGCGGCGUGCUUAACACAUGCAAGUCGAACGCUGAAGCUCAGCUUUUGUUGGGUGGAUGAGUGGCGAACGGGUGAGUAACACGUGAGUAACCUGCCUCCUUCUUUGGGAUAACGCCCGGAAACGGGUGCUAAUACUGGAUAUUCACUGGUCUUCGCAUGGGGGUUGGUGGAAAGGGUUUUUCUGGUGGGGGAUGGGCUCGCGGCCUAUCAGCUUGUUGGUGGGGUGAUGGCCUACCAAGGCUUUGACGGGUAGCCGGCCUGAGAGGGUGACCGGUCACAUUGGGACUGAGAUACGGCCCAGACUCCUACGGGAGGCAGCAGUGGGGAAUAUUGCACAAUGGGCGCAAGCCUGAUGCAGCGACGCCGCGUGAGGGAUGGAGGCCUUCGGGUUGUGAACCUCUUUCGCUCAUGGUCAAGCCGCAACAAUGGUUGUGGUGAGGCUAGUGGGUAAAGAAGCGCCGGCUAACUACGUG